UCCCUCGGCGGGCUCAGCGCGCGGCGGUCCUCCCGGGCCCCGCGCGUCCGCCGGGGGCCAGCAAACUCGAAUUUACUACGUGUAUCUCUGAGGGGCGAAAGCCCGUAAAACAAAAAUGAAUCAAAACUUUCAACAACGGAUCUCUUGGCUCUGGCAUCGAUGAAGAACGCAGCGAAAUGCGAUAAGUAAUGUGAAUUGCAGAAUUCAGUGAAUCAUCGAAUCUUUGAACGCACAUUGCGCCCGCCAGCACUCUGGCGGGCAUGCCUGUCCGAGCGUCAUUUCAACCCUCAGGCCCCCCGUCCGCGGGGAACCGGCCUGGCGUUGGGGCUCAGCGGCCUUCACCGGCCCCUGUCCCCGAAAUUCAGUGGCGGUCGCGCCGCAGCCUCCCCUGCGUAGUAGCACACCUCGCACCGGAGAGCGGCACGGCCACGCCGUAAAACCCCCCAGUUUUACCAAGGUUGACCUCGGAUCAGGUAGGAAUACCCGCUGAACUUAA
rnacentral:misc_RNA from 1 species